UACGUAGGGGGCAAGCGUUGUCCGGAAUCAUUGGGCGUAAAGCGCGUGUAGGCGGCCCGGUAAGUCCGCUGUGAAAGUCGGGGGCUCAACCCUCGAAUGCCGGUGGAUACUGUCGGGCUAGAGUGCGGGAGAGGAUGGUGGAAUUCCCAGUGUAGAGGUGAAAUUCGUAGAUAUUGGGAAGAACACCGGUGGCGAAGGCGGCCAUCUGGACCGCAACUGACGCUGAGGCGCGAAAGCGUGGGGAGCAAACAGG
rnacentral:rRNA from 1 species